CUAUAGACCUGGAAAAAGCCACUGCUAUAAUGCCACCUGAGAAAUACUGUUUUUUCCUUGAUGGCAUUUCGAAGAAGAGAGCUGUCAGUAGACCUUUCAAGUAAAUAUUCAGUCUCCUCCACUGACCAGUUCCUAAGACAAAAACAUACAGAUGUUUGUAGGACAUUUGCAAACGUGCAUAAUGCAUAUGUUUGACACUGAGAAGAUAGUCGCGCCUUAAGCAUUUACAUGUUUACUUUUUUCCUAUUAAUCUGAUUAUUUCGGACCUACACAACCCCUUUUAGUGUGAUCAAAAUUACAUUCACAUCGAUUAAGGUGUUUACAGGAAGGCUUGUCAGUCCAACUGAGCCAUCAGUCAGAUUACCUACAGAAUAUUUGUUUUCAUGUAAAUGUGAUCUUGACAUAUCAGAUGUUUUGUUUACAUUAAUUUAUUACUGGCUGUGAACAUAAAAAUCUUUUAAUGAGCAUUUUAAGGCAAUGACUGACCUGAAACUGUACUACCGAUACUGUAGAAAGACUGAUAAUAUUUCAUCUUCACAAUUUUAGCACUGGCAUCUUGACAACACUAUCACAGCCAACAGGGAAUGUUUUCAAAACUUUAGCUAGAGAGGAACAUUGAUGUUGAAAAACCAUUAUGUUGAGUUUUGAAUGCUGGUGUUUUACACCUAAUUUAACCAGCAAGCCUCUUUUAUUCGGCCAGCUUUGUCAACUCUAAUCUGACAUUUUUAACAGGAAUCUUUGAGAAAUAUGAGGAAUAUAUCCAAGCUGAUGUAUGAUUGUUUGGCUAACAAACCCUUAUGGUUAUAAAGGUGGUUCAAAUCCAGCAAAGUUUUAUCCAUGUAAUAUCAUCACUGUGUCAUUGAUCAAACUAUGAAUCUCAGGAACUGAACUUGUAAGAACUGCACUUUUUUUUUUUUUAUUAUUAUGAUUGUGACUGGCUGCUGUUUGCUAGUGUUAAUCAUCUGAAUCAUGUUUUAGUCACAUUUCACAAACACAUUUGUGUUAUUUAUUAUAGAUUUCAGAUGUUUGUUACUUCCACUGUAUGUCUUGAUUGUUGGAAUGUCCUGAGGGUGUUUUUUUUUUUUUUUUUUUACAAAUGUGUUAAGUGUCACAUUCUGCCAUUUGAGAUGCUGAUUAGGUUUUUUACUUCCAAGUCCGUGCAUUUCACAUGAGGAGGAAUAUGGAGACCUGGGGGGCGUUUAAGAAUGUCAUCACUGGGUGAUGAAAAUGAUCUCCUGCACUUGAACUGUCAGGAACCUGCCCUGACAGUCUUGUCUUUGUUCAAUGUUUCACUGUUUGUUUUGUGUCUAAGCACAUGGUUCAGUCUCUGUUUGUGUCUGCCACAUGCUCCUCUCGUCCCACCUCCUGGUUUCCCUUGGUCACGCCCCCUUGUUUAGCCCUUGUCUGCUUGAUUGUUUUCACCUGAUCCUCAUGUGUGCCGAUCUAUAUAUUGGGUUUCCUUUCCUUGUGUCUCUGCUGGUUCGUUUUUGGUGUUUACCUGUCUCUUGGCCCAGAAAUUUUCCCUUUGAUCUUGAGCAUUAUUUUUUGAUCUCUUAUUUAGAUAUUUAUAUCCUUUUUGGUCUUUAGUUUUGUCUAGCUUAAUAAGAAUGGAAAGAAAAAGAAAUUUGUGUAUUCUAAUCUAGUUUUGUUUCUCAUUUGAUUUAGAUUUUCUUCUACUCUUGUUUAAGUGAUUCCAGUUUUGGAUCUUGGCUUCUUGUUUUUACUCUUUGAUUAUAUCUUUGGGUAGCUUUGGUUAUUUAUUUUGCAUUGUUCUUAUUGUUUUCAAUUGUCUUACUGUUGUGGCAUUGAGUCUCGUCUUGUUUGUCUUGUCUUACCCUAUCUCAGAAUCCCUGGCCACUGAACCCCACUGCUUGGAAGCAGCUCACCUCUCUCACAUGUCAAGACUCUGGUCCCGUGAGCCCCUACCUGGCGGCUAGACUAGUGACAUUAGAGUUUAACUUAAAGCUACGGGUUUCCUGUGUGUCUGCCUGGUCCUUCCUCUUGAGCUGCCUCCUCUGUGCUUGAGCCUGUGGUCAUCUCGGACUGUCUCUGAGGCCAUCCCUCCUGCCUGUAUUGUUGUCUGCCCUGCCCCUCUGUUUGAACUGUUUCACUGCAAAUUCUUCCAGCUGUUCCAGUCUAUGUUUUGUUAAUAAAAUACCCUUGUCUGCUCAUUCUGCAUUUGGGUCCCAUUUCCUGCGCAGAUCCGUGACAUGAACAGUAUGUGUGACAGUUUAAAUCUGUAUGUCCGAACAAAGAAAAUUACCUCUAAUUGUGCUACUCUUUCUUUCUCAGGUUUAUCAGAGCCAUUUCUAGAGUCAUCUGUUCAAAGAGCUCCUUAACUGCCUAUUGACCACUGAAGUGUGAGGUUCUUAGAAAAGCAAUAGGAUUCAGAAAUGUCAUUAUGGUGCCUAUUUUUGUAAUGGACAUUUUAUAAGAAAAAAAUUCUGUAUCAGAGCUGUAGUACUGUAAUAGGCCAAACUCCUCAAAAGCCUGUAACACAAGCUGUGUAAGUGCCACAAGAUGUGUUUCGAGAAGAAUAACUUGACUUUUAGUUGUUUUGCAUUUUUUUUUCUAAUAAACACUGAAAUAUUUUGCCUAUAUAAAGGCUAAAUUCUUAGGAUGAAAAAAAAAAAUCUUGAAAGAUCUAUAUGUUCAUGUGAUAAUGACAUUAAAACAGACUGGGUUCAAAAGCUGGAA